UCACAGGAAGAGGCUUGGUGGCUACAGAAAGACAGAAAGAUGCCUGACCUGCUUCCAGCUGCUUCAGCCCCCCCACUGUCCCAUCUCCAGACACGUCAAACUGCAACUGGAUGACAGACAUUAAGCUGGAACUUUGCAGAACAAAUUCCAUGAAUAAUAGGACUUGGUCCAGGCUCCUAACCAUCUUUCAUCCUUGGGUGUAUCCAUCGGCCUAGGAACACCUAACACCACGUGAUGUUUAAUCCUACAGCAAACCAUCGACACUUUCAGCUUGAAUGAUCAUGUAUCACUUAGUUUUCAAGUUUAAUUCAAGUGCAUCUACCUCUUCUCCACUGUUGACACCAGAAAACUCCCUUCCAUAUGCCCUUGUGGAACUCACUAUACUUCGUUCAACAAACGUUCAGUGACUACCUGCUAUGUGUCCAGAAUAAAUUAAGAAUACAGUU
rnacentral:lncRNA from 10 species